rnacentral:rRNA from 1 species
UAGGGAAUCUUCGGCAAUGGACGGAAGUCUGACCGAGCAGCGCCGCGUGAGUGAAGAAGGUUUUCGGAUCGUAAAGCUCUGUUGUAAGAGAAGAACGAGUGUGAGAGUGGAAAGUUCACACUGUGACGGUAUCUUACCAGAAAGGGACGGCUAACUACGUGCCAGCAGCCGCGGUAAUACGUAGGUCCCGAGCGUUGUCCGGAUUUAUUGGGCGUAAAGCGAGCGCAGGCGGUUAGAUAAGUCUGAAGUUAAAGGCUGUGGCUUAACCAUAGUACGCUUUGGAAACUGUUUAACUUGAGUGCAAGAGGGGAGAGUGGAAUUCCAUGUGUAGCGGUGAAAUGCGUAGAUAUAUGGAGGAACACCGGUGGCGAAAGCGGCUCUCUGGCUUGUAACUGACGCUGAGGCUCGAAAGCGUGGGGAGCAAACAGGAUUAGAUACCCUGGUAGUCCACGCCGUAAACGAUGAGUGCUAGGUGUUAGACCCUUUCCGGGGUUUAGUGCCGUAGCUAACGCAUUAAGCACUCCGCCUGGGGAGUACGACCGCAAGGUUG